rnacentral:rRNA from 1 species
GACGAACGCUGGCGGCGUGCUUAACACAUGCAAGUCGAACGGAAAGGCUCCAGCUUGCUGGAGUACUCGAGUGGCGAACGGGUGAGUAACACGUGGGUAAUCUGCCCUGCACUCUGGGAUAAGCCUGGGAAACUGGGUCUAAUACUGGAUAUGACCUUUCUCCUUAUGGGGUUUGGUGGAAAGUUUUUCGGUGUAGGAUGAGCCCGCGGCCUAUCAGCUUGUUGGUGGGGUGAUGGCCUACCAAGGCGACGACGGGUAGCCGGCCUGAGAGGGUGAUCGGCCACAUUGGGACUGAGAUACGGCCCAGACUCCUACGGGAGGCAGCAGUGGGGAAUAUUGCACAAUGGGCGGAGGCCUGAUGCAGCGACGCCGCGUGAGGGAUGACGGCCUUCGGGUUGUAAACCUCUUUCAGCAGGGACGAAGCGUAAGUGACGGUACCUGCAGAAGAAGCACCGGCUAACUAUGUG